AAUAUUUUUGGACAGCAGUGAUUCCCUGGAAUCACCUGGAAAGCAAAAUUGUAGAUACUUUUCGAUUUUAAAAGCUGCUUCAUCAUUUUAAAAUAGGAGCAUCCGAAUACUGGUUCUCUAAAACAUUUAAGCUUAGUAUCACUCUAUCCAUUUAACCUUUUGGACCUGUGGAAAAAGAGCCAUGGAUCUGAUAAACUGAGUUUUUCUCUGAGCCUACCUAUGCACUCCACUUCAUGACAAAGGUUUUUUGAAGAGUUCUUGGAACAAUUACAUUUAAAUGCAUAGAUGCACAAAAGUUGAUGGGAUGAUUUUUAAGAAACAGGAAGGGUGUAUGUAUGUCAGAAUGGCAUGUCCCAAAGAGGGAUGCCCCUUCACCUUGGUCCCAGAAUGAUGGAACAAAGUUGAAGAUGACUGCGAUAGGCCAAUAACCUGAAGAGAAAGAAACCUUCCUGUAAGUAACUUUGAUUUAGGGGUUAUUACUAUAGAAUAACUUAAUUUAGGUUAACUGAUGUAUCAUCCAGCUUGAAUGAAGAUGACUUGGCUACCAUGAGACUAAUAAUGGAUUACACAGAGUGUUUGAGAACUCUAAAAGAUAGGUUGUUAACCUCCAGAGCAGUUGAAACUGAGUAUCACUGAAGGGACAGUCAGAAUAGGCAUUCUCUUUCAGGGAUGAUUAAAACCAAAGUUCAGGUAGGAGAUGUUUGAGUGAUAUUUCAAUAUAUGGAAAAUUAUUGGUUUGAAGUAUGAGCUUUAUAUCCAUUAUACAUGUUGGUUUUAUGCUAUGAAAUCUAAUGUUGGUUCAACAUCUGAAAUUUGUCACAUUUUCUAAGCUCUGAAAAAGAAAAAUGAGCCUGUUUUUUUGUAUAUUUAUGUAUGCUCAUCCAGUGGUAAAAUCAUAUUACUAAUCCAGAAACCAAUUACUGAACUCCAGUGAAAUUAUGGAGCUAAAUCCAAAAUUCAGACAUUUUUGAAAAACUAUCUGAGUCCACAGUAAUGUAUUUUGACGUUCUGGGGUAAAAAAAUCAGUAUUUAUCCUUUAUAGAGUAUGGGUUCCUUCAAAUACCUCUAUACUUUUUAAGCAUCUGACAUUUACAGUUACUGUGAUUCCCUCUGUCCAAUUUAAGUCACAAGAAGCAACUCUGUGAAAGAAAGUUUGAUUUGUGAUUGAGCUGUUUCUCACAGUAACAAUACCUAUAUGGUAUGUUCUGAGGCAGAGCUUUAUUCAUAUGCACCCCCAAUAGUACAACAAACUGAUAUAUAUAAAAAAAUUCUGUUAAUCAGUAGGAGAAUGAAUUAAUGUGAUAUUUGCAUAUAACAUACAUUAUUUAAGAUUAAUACAGUAUCAUGUAUUAAAGUGGGUAAGUCUCAAAAACAGUGUUGAGAAAAAGCAAGUUUCAG
rnacentral:lncRNA from 1 species